rnacentral:rRNA from 1 species
AGUGAACGCUGGCGAUAGGCCUAACACAUGCAAGUCGAACGGCAGCACAGUAAGAGCUUGCUCUUACGGGUGGCGAGUGGCGGACGGGUGAGGAAUACAUCGGAAUCUACUUUUUCGUGGGGGAUAACGUAGGGAAACUUACGCUAAUACCGCAUACGGCCUACGGGUGAAAGCAGGGGAUCUUCGGACCUUGCGCGAUUGAAUGAGCCGAUGUCGGAUUAGCUAGUUGGCGGGGUAAAGGCCCACCAAGGCGACGAUCCGUAGCUGGUCUGAGAGGAUGAUCAGCCACACUGGAACUGAGACACGGUCCAGACUCCUACGGGAGGCAGCAGUGGGGAAUAUUGGACAAUGGGCGCAAGCCUGAUCCAGCCAUACCGCGUGGGUGAAGAAGGCCUUCGGGUUGUAAAGCCCUUUUGUUGGGAAAGAAGAGCAGCAGGUUAAUACCCCGCUGUUCUGACGGUACCCAAAGAAUAAGCACCGGCUAACUUCGUG